rnacentral:tRNA from 1 species
GAGGGUAUAGCUCAAGUGGUAGAGCGCAUGCUUAGCAUGCAGAAGGUACUGGGUUCAAUCCCCAGUACCUCCU